rnacentral:rRNA from 1 species
GAUCCUGGCUCAGGAUGAACGCUAGCUACAGGCUUAACACAUGCAAGUCGCGGGGUAACAUCUGGUAGAGCUUGCUCUUCCAGGAUGACGACCGGCGCACGGGUGAGUAACGCGUAUCCAACCUGGCCCAUACCACGGGAUAGCCCGUCGAAAGGCGGAUUAAUACCGUAUGCUGUCAUUAAGAUGCAUAUAUUGAUGACGAAAGGACUGGCGGUAUGGGAUGGGGAUGCGUCUGAUUAGCUUGUUGGCGGGGUAACGGCCCACCAAGGCGACGAUCAGUAGGGGUUCCUGAGAGGAAGGUCCCCCACAUUGGAACUGAGACACGGUCCAAACUCCUACGGGAGGCAGCAGUGAGGAAUAUUGGUCAAUGGGCGCAAGCCUGAACCAGCCAAGUAGCGUGAGGGAAGACUGCCCUACGGGUUGUAAACCUCUUUGUUUGGGAAUAAAGUGCGGGACGUGUCCCGCAUUGCAUGUACCAUUUGAAUAAGGACCGGCUAAUUCCGUG